rnacentral:rRNA from 1 species
UACAGAGGUCUCAAGCGUUGUCCGGAAUCAUUGGGCGUAAAGCGCGUGUAGGCGGCCCGGUAAGUCCGCUGUGAAAGCCCCGGGCUCAACCCGGGAAGUGCACUCGAUACUGUCGAGCUAGAGUAUCGGAGAGGUUGGUGGAAUUCUCGGUGUAGAGGUGAAAUUCGUAGAUAUCGAGAGGAACACCGGUGGCGAAGGCGGCCAACUGGACGAAUACUGACGCUGAGACUCGAAAGCGUGGGGAGCAAACAGG